GCAAACUUGGUCAUUUAGAGGAAGUAAAAGUCGUAACAAGGUUUCCGUAGGUGAACCUGCGGAAGGAUCAUUAACAAUUGUCCACCAAUCAUGGAUAAUUUUAUCCAUAUCCACCUUGUGUGAAUCACUGAAGCGUUUGUUGGCAGGCUUUUAAUGGGCUGUUUGCUCGGCCUGCCAAUUUUAUGUUUAAACAUGUCUAUAUUAUUUCCUUGACUGAAAUUGUAAUAUUAUAAUAAAAUACAACUUUCAACAACGGAUCUCUUGGCUCUCGCAUCGAUGAAGAACGCAGC
rnacentral:misc_RNA from 1 species